rnacentral:pre_miRNA from 1 species
GCAGCGUGAGGUAGUAGAUUGUAUAGUUGUGGGGCAGUGAUUUUGCCCCGUUCGGAAGAUAACUGUACAAUCUACUGCCUUCCUUGA